rnacentral:tRNA from 1 species
GCUGGGGUAGCCAAGCCCGGAUCAAGGCGAUAGCCUCGAGAGCUAUUGGUGCUUUGUUCACCGCAAGGGUUCAAAUCCCUUCCCCAGCG